rnacentral:rRNA from 1 species
GACGAACGCUGGCGGCGUGCUUAACACAUGCAAGUCGAACGGAAAGGCCCUGCUUGCCGGGUACUCGAGUGGCGAACGGGUGAGUAACACGUGGGUGAUCUGCCCUGCACUUCGGGAUAAGCCUGGGAAACUGGGUCUAAUACCGGAUAGGAGCCAUUUUUAGUGUGAUGGUUGGAAAGUUUUUUCGGUGUAGGAUGAGCUCGCGGCCUAUCAGCUUGUUGGUGGGGUAAUGGCCUACCAAGGCGGCGACGGGUAGCCGGCCUGAGAGGGUGGACGGCCACAUUGGGGCUGGGAUACGGCCCAGACUCCUACGGGAGGCAGCAGGGGGGAAUAUUGCACAAUGGGCGCAAGCCUGAUGCAGCGACGCCGCGUGGGGGAUGACGGCCUUCGGGUUGUAAACUCCUUUCGCUAGGGACGAAGCUUUUUGUGACGGUACCUAGAUAAGAAGCACCGGCUAACUACGUG